AUACGGAGGAUGCAAGCGUUAUCCGGAAUUAUUGGGUUUAAAGGGUGCGUAGGCGGUUUGCUAAGCGGGAGGUGAAAUGCCGGCGCUCAACGUCGGAAGUGCCUCCCGAACUGGUGGACUUGAAUGACUCUGCCGUGGGAGGAAUGUGUAGUGUAGCGGUGAAAUGCUUAGAGAUUACACAGAACACCGAUUGCGAAGGCAUCUCACGAAGGGUUGAUUGACGCUGAGGCACGAAAGCGUGGGGAUCAAACAGGAUUAGAUACCCUGGUAGUCCACGCAGUAAACGAUGAUGGCUAACCGCUGGGCUUAUCAGUUCAGUGGCCAAGCGAAAGCGAUAAGCCAUCCACCUGGGGAGUACGACCGCAAGGUUGAAACUCAAAUGAAUUGACGGGG
rnacentral:rRNA from 1 species